AAGCUGAUCACCGUUCCUGGAGUUAAAGGAACAUCUGAUGAUGGUUUUGAUGUAGAAUCUGCUUCAAAUAACAGUGCUGUUGCAUGGUGUAUAAUCAGUGGAUUCAUGGUUUGCAUCGUUGCUUUUCUCAUCAUUUUAUGGUUCACAAAAAGGGCAGAAAAAAGGUAUUUCUUUCACACAGUGUCUGAAUUGUCACCUGGAUGUUCAACUCAGCAGAUUAAUGUUUGUGGAUUAUUGAGAUAUAUAUACUUUUUAAUUUCACA